rnacentral:sRNA from 1 species
CCGGCCCCUCGUGCCCCAGGAAGAGCAGCGGGCAGCACCAGAACGACAAAGACAAGAACGUCCGCCAGAGGAACUCCUCCUGAGCCAGGUGGCCCGAGGACGCUCCCUGCUCCGUGUCUGCGCCGCCGCCGGAGUCCACUCCCAGUGAUUGCAAGAUUCCAAGUUCUCGCCUCUUAAAGAAAACCCACCCCGUAGAUUCCCAUCACACGCUUUCUUCUUUUUUAAAAAAGUUGGGUUUUCUCCAUUCAGGAUUCUGUUCCUUAGGUUUUUUCCUUCUGAAGUGUUUCACGAGAGCCCGGGAGCUGCUGCACCGCGGCCCCGUCCGUGGUUUUCAGCCUCUGGGUCUGAGUCAUGGCAGGGCGGGCGGUGCAGCCUUCUCCACUGGCCGGAGUCAGUGCCAGGUCCCUGCCCUUUGCGGAAGGUCACAGGUCACAUGAGGGGCCCCGCGUCCUGCCUGUCUGAAGCCAAUGCUGUCUGGUUGCGCUAUUUUUGCGCUUUUAUGUUUAAUUUUAUGAAGGCCACAGGUCUGUGUUUGACUCAGCCUCAGGGACGACUUUGACCUCUUGGCCACAGAGGACUCACCUGCCCACACCGAGGGCGACCCCGUCACGGCCUCAAGUAACUCCCAAGCCUCCUUCUUGUCUGUGCAUCCGGGGGCAGCUCUGGAGGGGGUUUGCUGGGGAACUGGCGCCGCCUCCGGGACUCCAGAACCGCAGAAGCCCUCCCCAGCUCACCCCUGGAGGAUGGCUGGCUCUCCACAGCACCAGGG